rnacentral:rRNA from 1 species
AACGUAGGAGGCUAGCGUUAUCCGGAUUUACUGGGCGUAAAGCGCGCGUAGGUGGCUCCGUAAGUCGGGCGUGAAAUCUCCCGGCUCAACUGGGAGGGGUCGUCCGAUACUGCGGAGCUUGAGGGCAGGAGAGGGAGGUGGAAUUCCCGGUGUAGUGGUAAAAUGCGUAGAUAUCGGGAGGAACACCAGUGGCGAAGGCGGCCUCCGGGCCUGCCCAUGACGUUGAGGCGCGAAAGCGUGGGGAGCGAACGGG